AUCCUUUUGUAGUUCUUAAGUCUGAUGAUUGGGUGUUCAUGCACAUGCAUGAGAUGUACCUCCCUCAAACUUUGUUACAACAUUGGCACAUUACCCAUCUGACA